GCCAGCCGCUCAGAAACUCAAAGGAAUUGAGGGGGCCCGCACAAGCGGUGGAGUAUGUGGUUUAAUUCGAUGCAACGCGAAGAACCUUACCUGGUCUUGACAUCCCGGAGACCCUUAGGAACUAGGGGUGCUUCCAUCUGGAAGAAUCUGGAGACAGGUGCUGCAUGGCUGUCGUCAGCUCGUGUCGUGAGAUGUUGGGUUAAGUCCCGCAACGAGCGCAACCCUUGCCUUUAGUUGCCAGCAGUUCGGCUGGGCACUCUAAAGGGACUGCCGGUGUUAAACCGGAGGAAGGUGGGGAUGACGUCAAGUCCUCAUGGCCUUUAUGACCAGGGCUACACACGUACUACAAUGGCCGAUACAAAGGGCAGCGACACUGCGAGGUGAAGCCAAUCCCGUAAAAUCGGUCUCAGUCCGGAUUGGAGUCUGCAACUCGACUCCAUGAAGUUGGAAUCGCUAGUAAUCGUGGAUCAGCAUGCCACGGUGAAUACGUUCCCGGGCCUU
rnacentral:rRNA from 1 species